rnacentral:rRNA from 1 species
AUUGAACGCUGGCGGCAUGCCUUACACAUGCAAGUCGAACGGCAGCACGGGGGCAACCCUGGUGGCGAGUGGCGAACGGGUGAGUAACAUAUCGGAACAUACCCUAGAGUGGGGGGAUAACGUAGCGAAAGUUACGCUAAUACCGCAUACGAUCUAAGGAUGAAAGUGGGGGGAUCUUCGGACCUCAUGCUCAUGGAGUGGCCGAUAUCUGAUUAGCUAGUUGGUGAGGUAAAGGCUCACCAAGGCGACGAUCAGUAGCUGGUUUGAGAGAACGACCAGCCACACUGGAACUGAGACACGGUCCAGACUCCUACGGGAGGCAGCAGUGGGGAAUUUUGGAC